rnacentral:lncRNA from 1 species
UCAGUGUCUUGACUGCAACCUCAAGAAAGACCUUGAGCCAAAGCCAUCCACCAGGACAAAGGGACAAAGGGGACCAUGGGGAGACACCACGUGCUCAGGAGUUAUGGGGAGCACCUCUUCCACGUCUCACUUUGGACACUGUGUGUCUCGCCUGUUGAACUACUCAGAACAACAGAUGACACGAGAUGUCCCUGCUGGGGAGAAAAACUUGAUGAUCCCAUUGGCAAACCAGCUCCUGAGAUUUGUAUCAAGGCCUCUGCAUCUCACAGCUACCUUGUGUCUCCUCUAUUGAAAAGCUGCUGGGACUUUCAGAGACAUUCUACUAAUGGCAAGUUCUGAGUGCCAUCAUGAAGAAUUUCAGGAAGAGACGUGAUUUGACCUUAGUGUUUUAAAUGGGCAUGGUCCUGCUGUCAAGUUCAGCAAAACAGCAGCUACUGCUGUCUGAUGUACUCUGAAAGCCUGAUCAGUCAGAUCAGCCAUUAGAGACCUGACCUCAUGGACCCAGUUGCAGGGUUGGCUGGAUGAUGGGCUGAUAUGAGGACAACUGCUCCAUCGUGCUCAGCGCUGCUGGGUUGUACUGCAUGAGGAGCCAAGCUCAGUUUUAUUUCCCUGCCUCUUUGCAAACAAUUAUUCUAGCAACAUGCACUAGGCAUACAGAAAAUAAUAUGAAAUGGAUUCUGAUGUUUUUUGUGCUUGGAUUAGUUUGCUUCACUGUAGCCCUUGAACUCUUGAAACAGAAGUAUCAAGAACCUGCUAUUCUCUUAGUGGGCUCUGACCAUGUGGUGCCCCAGAAGUUAUCUCCAAAUAUACUUCAAAAUAUCAGGCAGAGGUUUCCUGUCUAAAGUUACCAUGUGCCAU